rnacentral:misc_RNA from 1 species
GUAGGUGAACCUGCGGAAGGAUCAUUAUCAUUUUGAUUCUUUAUCCUAAACAAACCGUGAACUGUUUUCUUUGUCUUGUUCUUCAUUGAGCGAGCAAAGAGCCUUGAGUGCUCAAUUGGAUUAGAGUUAGGGAUUCAUUUCUCUUGUUCUUUUCUUUCUGAGUGCUUUUUACCAAUCGAACCCCAAAGAGCCAACUUAAGUCUCUAUUAUUGAUUAACUUCUCUAGCUGAGAUUUAUAUAGGCCACUUUU